rfam:Felis catus isolate Cinnamon breed Abyssinian chromosome X, whole genome shotgun sequence.
GCCUGGAUGGCUCAGUUGGUUGGGCAACUGACUUCAGCUCAGGUCAUGAUCUCACAGUUUGUGAGUUUGAGCCCCACGCCAGGCU